GGACACUAAUAACUGCAGAACUGACCCUCCACUAAUCGUCAAGCCUAUUUAACAGCAAAGUAGGCAGACCCAUCGGCUUUCAAGCACGGAAACACAUCAACAUCUACCUCCUCCAUUUACCUACAAUAUAUACAGUAAAACUGUUAGCUAGCAUUUCCCACAGCGGAAUAAGACAUUCCAGCAAAUAUACCUAACACAAAAAGGAAUAUUUGAGGACAAAAAUGCAACAAUCCCAAAGCUCUUGUUGUCGGCAUGCACAUGAAAAGAAUAAUAGGGGGAAAGUACUGACAAUAGGACCUGUAACAAAAG